GACGAACCGAGCGAACGUUGUUCGGAAUCACUGGGCUUAAAGGGCGCGUAGGCGGACUGCCAAGUCCGGGGUGAAAUCCUCCGGCUUAACCGGAGAAUUGCCUGGGAUACUGGCGGUCUUGAGGGAGGUAGGGGCACGCGGAACUUCCGGUGGAGCGGUGAAAUGCGUUGAUAUCGGAAGGAACGCCGGUGGCGAAAGCGGCGUGCUGGCCCUCUUCUGACGCUGAGGCGCGAAAGCCAGGGGAGCGGAACGGG
rnacentral:rRNA from 1 species